rnacentral:rRNA from 1 species
GUCGAGAAUCUUUCACAAUGGGGGCAACCCUGAUGGAGCGACGCCGCGUGGAGGAUAAGGUCUUCGGAUUGUAAACUCCUGUCAUGCGUGAACAAGGUUGCUUGGUUAAUACCUGGGCAAAUUGAUGGUAACGCAAGAGGAAGAGACGGCUAACUCUGUGCCAGCAGCCGCGGUAAUACAGAGGUCUCAAGCGUUUUUCGGAAUCACUGGGCGGAAAGGGGGCGUAGGUGGCGUGGUAAGUCAGAUGUGAAAGCCCGGGGCUCAACCUCGGAACUGCAUCCGAUACUGCCAUGCUAGAGUACUGGAGAGGUGACUAGAAUUCUCGGUGUAGCAGUGAAAUGCGUAGAUAUCGAGAGGAAUACCAAAGGCGUAGGCAGGUCACUGGACAGUUACUGACACUGAGGCACGAAGGCCAGGGGAGCGAACGGGAUUAGAUACCCGAGUAGUCC